rnacentral:lncRNA from 1 species
CAGGAAGGAACGGUGACUGAAAAAACAGAUGUUUUCGGCUUCGGGGUUCUGCUGCUCGAGAUCAUAACAGGCUGCAAGAACAGGAACCUCUCAGGCGAUUACCUGAAGGACUACUUGUUGGUUAGUAACAGAAACGGUAGUGCCGCUGCUCACCUCUCUGAAGAAGAGAACGAAAAGGAAAGAUUGAAGAAUGUUGCGGCGUUGUGUGUUCGAGACGAUCCAAACUUACGGCCCUCGAUGAGCAAGGUUAUACAGAUGAUGGAAGGAGUUACCGAGCUGCUUCAAGUACCUUUGGAAUCGGAGCUGAAUUUCUUUUUCGCUUACAGACCCAAAGAUCAGCUUAGCAGAACCGCAGCCUCGAACGUGAAUUAUAGGAGUUCUGAUAAGUUGCUGAACUCAUCUUCCUCGUUUACUGCCUUCUCACAAUCUAGCCUGAAUGCCCGAUGAAAUUAUACGUUACAACAUUGAACGAAAAAUAUACCUUCGUUGAUUCGCUACUGCUGAAACUGUUGCGCUAAGCCAAAAACAAUGUAGCUGCAAUAUCAUUGAAUCAUCAACCUCCAAAGAAGAACAGUUAUAUCUUCUCCUAUUUGAGUUCCAGAUACUCAUAAAGGAAAUUCGUCGUCGAAGUCUGUAGAAAAAUCGUCAAUCAGUACGUGAUUCAAAACUAGAAAUUAUAAGAAACCGUUUCGAGCUUCGGCUUUCAGCAAUAGCAGGCUACAAAAAGAAAAACCUCGCGAAAUAUCCUGAAAAGCUCCAUCAGGAACACAAGAAAAGAGAAAGAUUGCCAAUCGUCAUUGCAAUGUGGGGUAAAAAGGCAAUAUUGAGCUUAAAAUCGCAGGUGAUCUUGAGAGAAAAGGAUGGAGCUCCCUCAUAAGAGUUUCGAAAAGAUGCUGAAACUAUCAAUAUCGUUCAAGGAUUUGCCACAACACGAGUCCAUCUAGAGCACAAAAAAAGGAAUAGCAAUAUUCUUAGCUUGAAGACCAAAAUUUACCAAACGAUGGACAGCGUCUCCCUGGAGCUAACACAGUUGGAGCACAACGUAAGCGCAUCACAGCACACUCUUCCUCUAUCAACGAACAGCGACCAAAGUGUGAGCGUCCAUCUAAAGCCAAAGGAAUUCUUUGUCUAGGCGAAAUAUAUCUCAGAUUUCACGGAUCUUCUGUGACGAGCUCCAGCGCCAAGAAAAAGAAAUCGCGCCAUGGCAUUGCAUUCUACAAAUUGCGAGGUUACUCAGCCGCAAGAAUCGAAACUGGAGAAAGCAAACUCAAUGAAUGAAACAUCACCUCAAAGAUCCACCAAAAUGCUCGAUCAAUGCAACAUUGCGCCGACCUCCACGGAAAUGCGAUGUUAAAGCUCUCGAUCGGCAGAAAUCCAUGAGCCAUUCAUAAACCCUAGAACACAAACCCACUUUAAGAGGCCUUAACAGGUCCCGC